AUGAGAGAGCAAACACAGGGCACCAAAAAUGAGAACUCUCUGUGCCAAGUCUAUAAAAUGAAUGCUGGCUGUUCAGCAGGAAGGCCAGAAGGCAAAGGGGCAGCAUGGCACCAUUCAAGAAGCACCAGCCUGGGAGACCGAGGACAAGGGACCAGGAAUAGAACUACACCACUGGGAAUUCCUCCAGAAGCACAAGAACUAGAUAUGAAGGAUAAAACUGUUCACUGGUCCAGGUCUCUGAUAAAAUUACUAUGUAAGCAUCAAAUUCUUAUGUCAUUUAAUAUCAGAGUAAAUGGUAAUUAG
rnacentral:lncRNA from 1 species